UAAAUAGAUAUAUAGAUAGUGAUCUAUCCUCUUUGAUUUCAUCUUCGAUCAAAAACUCCUUCAGAUGGCUUGUCUAAUUCGCUACAUGAUUGACAAAGACCUAUCACAAAAUAAUGUGCCAGAAAUUUGUCAAAAAGCUUCUCUGUUUUUGCUACUGACAACCACAAAAUCAUGUUCCAAAGGGAAACACCAUUCAUCAGUUGAAUUGAACCAGAAAAGUUCCAAUCGUAAACCAAAAUGUGGUUGAAAGAAUGGUAGACUGUAAAAAGGGAUGGUCAAUUCUUCACGGGAAAUUUCUACCCAAGCAAAGUCACACAGGGAAAACUCAUACAAAAAAGAAUUUUGUGAUCAAAAGGGUAUUUAUAUAUAUUGCCAAGCUCAAUUCUUCUGCUUGACUUUAUAGUUCUAACAGAUUCUUAGCUUCAUCUUGGAUUUUUGUAGCUCGGCAUACAUCCUGAUAAGAAAACCGAAGCUAAUAAAAAUAUUGUGAGUUCAUUAGCAAAGAGCUUAUUUUGUUUUUGAUGGCUGAUCUUCAAAGAUCUAUUCCCUUCAUGAUUGAUGCCCGAAGCCAACUCAGAGAAAGAUAUAUUUCAGUUGUUUCAAGAGGAAUUUGGUUAAGUAUAUUAAAGUUUCUUAGUUUCAAAGUUAUGUAUUUAAGAAGUCUGCAUAGAUGAUCUUCAAAUAUUAUUAUUGUGUUUCUGUUUUUCCUCAUUUUUAUUUUAUUUUUAUUUUUGUUCUGUGUGUCAUUAUGUAUAUGAAUUGAUUGUGAGUCAUCUUCAGCCUUUGGUUAUAAAAAUAAAAUAACUACUAGAAAAAUUUUACUUUUUUUU